CGUUCCAUGCAGUCGAACGGCAGCACGGGAGCAAUCCUGGUGGCGAGUGGCGAACGGGUGAGUAAUGCAUCGGAACGUACCCGGGAGUGGGGGAUAACUAUCCGAAAGGAUAGCUAAUACCGCAUAUUCUGUGCGCAGGAAAGCAGGGGAUCUUCGGACCUUGUGCUCCCGGAGCGGCCGAUGUCAGAUUAGCUAGUUGGUGGGGUAAAGGCCUACCAAGGCGACGAUCUGUAGCGGGUCUGAGAGGAUGAUCCGCCACACUGGAACUGAGACACGGUCCAGACUCCUACGGGAGGCAGCAGUGGGGAAUUUUGGACAAUGGGCGCAAGCCUGAUCCAGCCAUGCCGCGUGAGUGAAGAAGGCCUUCGGGUUGUAAAGCUCUUUCGGCCGGGAAGAAAUCGUACAGGUUAAUACCCUGUGCGGAUGACGGUACCGGCAUAAGAAGCACCGGCUAACUACGUGCCAGCAGCCGCGGUAAUACGUAGGGUGCGAGCGUUAAUCGGAAUUACUGGGCGUAAAGCGUGCGCAGGCGGUUUUUUAAGAUAGGCGUGAAAUCCCCGGGCUCAACCUGGGAACUGCGCUUAUGACUGGAAGACUAGAGUAUGGCAGAGGGGGGUGGAAUUCCACGUGUAGCAGUGAAAUGCGUAGAGAUGUGGAGGAACACCGAUGGCGAAGGCAGCCCCCUGGGCCAAUACUGACGCUCAUGCACGAAAGCGUGGGGAGCAAACAGGAUUAGAUACCCUGGUAGUCCACGCCCUAAACGAUGUCAACUAGUUGUUGGGAGGGUAAAACCUUUUAGUAACGGAGCUAACGCGUGAAGUUGACCGCCUGGGGGAGUACGGCCGCAAGGUUAAAACUCAAAGGAAUUGACGGGGACCCGCACAAGCGGUGGAUGAUGUGGAUUAAUUCGAUGCAACGCGAAAAACCUUACCUACCCUUGACAUGCCAGGAAC
rnacentral:rRNA from 1 species